UUCACAUCUCAAAUUGAAUUCCUCAUUCUUUUCUCCGAAAAUCUCAUCUUGUUGCAACAAUGUCCAUUGAGAGCAACAAAGAGAACAUCUCUCCAGUUUAUACCAAUAAGAAGAAGAAGAAGAAGAAGAAUAGUACUGAAAGAAAGAUGAAGAGGAGCCCUCUUGCAGAUAUCACCCAUUUGUUCGACAACUCUUCCACAUUAACAACGACCAGAGAAGAACAUGUGGAUUCUCGGAGGACAUUGAGGAUUGGAUUUAGAUAGGAUAGGAUUCAAUUUCCAUUCUGUUCUCUUACGUUUUUUGUGUCAUCGUGUUAUACAACAAUUUAUAUAACAAAAAGGAAUAAUUACAAUGAAAAUAUUAAUAGUGUUUGGAAGCUGCAUAAUCA
rnacentral:lncRNA from 1 species